rnacentral:rRNA from 1 species
GUAUGAAUGGCUAGACGAGGGCUUAACUGUCUCCCCCUUCCAGUCAGUGAAAUUGAUCUAUCCGUGCAGAAGCGGGUGUAAUUAUACAAGACGAGAAGACCCUUUGGAGCUUAAGGUACAAAGUUCAACCACGUUAAACGACUCCACAGAAAGCAAGAACUUAGUGGCAAAUGAAACUUUACCUUCGGUUGGGGCGACCACGGAGGAGAAGAGAGCCUCCGAGUGGACUGGGCUAAAUCCCCAAAGCCAAGAGAUACAUCUAUAAGCCGCAGAACAUCUGACCAAAAAUGAUCCGACUGAAAAGCCGAUCAACGAACCAAGUUACCCUAGGGAUAACAGCGCAAUCCUCUCCCAGAGUCCAUAUCGACGAGGGGGUUUACGACCUCGAUGUUGGAUCAGGACAUCCUAAUGGUGCAGCCGCUAUUAAGGGUUCGUUUGUUCAACGAUUAAAGUCCUACGUGAUCU